rnacentral:rRNA from 1 species
UACGGAGGGAGCUAGCGUUGUUCGGAAUUACUGGGCGUAAAGCGCACGUAGGCGGCUUUGUAAGUUAGAGGUGAAAGCCCGGAGCUCAACUCCGGAACUGCCUUUAAGACUGCAUCGCUUGAAUCCAGGAGAGGUGAGUGGAAUUCCGAGUGUAGAGGUGAAAUUCGUAGAUAUUCGGAAGAACACCAGUGGCGAAGGCGGCUCACGGGACUGGUAUUGACGCUGAGGUGCGAAAGCGUGGGGAUCAAUCAGG